UACGAAGGGGGCUAGCGUUGCUCGGAAUUACUGGGCGUAAAGGGCUCGUAGGUGGCCAACUAAGUCAGACGUGAAAUCCCUCGGCUUAACCGGGGAACUGCGUCUGAUACUGGAUGGCUGGAGUUUGGGAGAGGGAUGCGGAAUUCCAGGUGUAGCGGUGAAAUGCGUAGAUAUCUGGAGGAACACCAGUGGCGAAAGCGCUCUGCUGGACUGCAACUGACACUGAGGGACGAAAGCUAGGGGAGCGAAAGGG
rnacentral:rRNA from 1 species